UACGUAGGUGGCAAGCGUUGUCCGGAAUUACUGGGUGUAAAGGGAGCGUAGGCGGGUGUGCAAGUUGAAUGUCAAAUCUAUGGGCUCAACCCAUAGUCGCGUUCAAAACUGCAUAUCUUGAGUGAAGUAGAGGUAGGCGGAAUUCCUAGUGUAGCGGUGAAAUGCGUAAAUAUUAGGAGGAACACCAGUGGCGAAGGCGGCCUACUGGGCUUUAACUGACGCUGAGGCUCGAAAGCGUGGGUAGCAAACAGGAUUAGAUACCCUGGUAGUCCACGCUGUAAACGAUGAUUACUAGGUGUGGGGGGACUGACCCCUUCCGUGCCGCAGUUAACACAAUAAGUAAUCCACCUGGGGAGUACGACCGCAAGGUUGAA
rnacentral:rRNA from 1 species